AUGUCAUGUGAUUCUCUGAGGGAGCAGCUGCGUGAGUGGAGAUGCUCUCAGUGGUGGAAAAUGGACUGGACCCCCGGGCUGCCAUCCCGAUGCAAAGAGAAAGAUGGUCAUAUGAAGAUGGAGGCAGCAACUGGAGUGAUGUAGCUACAAGCCAAGGAACACCAAGGACUGGCACAACACCAGAAGCUGGAAAAAGACAAGGAAGGAUUCUUCCCUAGAGCCUCCAGAGAGAGCAUGGCCCUGUUAACACCAUUAUUUCAGACUUCUGGCCUCCAGAAUGGUGGGAGAACACAUUUCUGAUUUUUUAAGCCAUCUUCUUUAAGUAAAAGAUUAUCUAUGAUGUUGUAUUUUACAGACCAAGAAACUGAAGCUCAGAAAUGUUGAGUGACUUUUCUUGUCAAGGUUCAUGUUAAAUAGCUGUGACAUGUAAGCAUCUGGUAGUAAAGCCAUGACUAGAAGCAAAA